GGUCCAGGAGGGCCGGUAGUUCCUCAUAAUCCACCUUUAUCCUGGCGGCCCCUUCCCGGGCCGCCGCCGGGGUGGUAGCCCCCACCAGGGCUACCA
rnacentral:tRNA from 1 species